rnacentral:rRNA from 1 species
UCCGAAAGGGGCUAGCGUUGUUCGGAAUUACUGGGCGUAAAGCGCGCGUAGGCGGGCUAGCAAGUUGGGGGUGAAAUCCCGGGGCUCAACCUCGGAACUGCCUCCAAAACUGCUAGCCUAGAGGAUGUGAGAGGAUAGUGGAAUUCCGAGUGUAGAGGUGAAAUUCGUAGAUAUUCGGAAGAACACCAGUGGCGAAGGCGACUGUCUGGCGCAUUUCUGACGCUGAGGUGCGAAAGCGUGGGGAGAAAACAGG